rnacentral:rRNA from 1 species
CAUGCAAGUCGAACGGAAAGGCCCCUUCGGGGGUACUCGAGUGGCGAACGGGUGAGUAACACGUGGGCAAUCUGCCCUGCACUUCGGGAUAAGCCUGGGAAACUGGGUCUAAUACCGGAUAGGACCUUUAGGCGCAUGUCUUUAGGUGGAAAGCUUUUGCGGUGUGGGAUGGGCCCGCGGCCUAUCAGCUUGUUGGUGGGGUGAUGGCCUACCAAGGCGACGACGGGUAGCCGGCCUGAGAGGGUGUCCGGCCACACUGGGACUGAGAUACGGCCCAGACUCCUACGGGAGGCAGCAGUGGGGAAUAUUGCACAAUGGGCGCAAGCCUGAUGCAGCGACGCCGCGUGGGGGAUGACGGCCUUCGGGUUGUAAACCUCUUUCACCAUCGACGAAGGUCCGGGUUUUCUCGGAUUGACGGUAGGUGGAGAAGAAGCACCGGCCAACUACGUGCCAGCAGCCGCGGUAAUACGUAGGGUGCGAGCGUUGUCCGGAAUUACUGGGCGUAAAGAGCUCGUAGGUGGUUUGUCGCGUUGUUCGUGAAAUCUCACGGCUUAACUGUGAGCGUGCGGGCGAUACGGGCAGACUAGAGUACUGCAGGGGAGACUGGAAUUCCUGGUGUAGCGGUGGAAUGCGCAG